UCUCACACAAAAAAGAAAGGCGAAUUUUCACACCUCCACGGAAAAGAGAGCAAAGUUUUUAUAACCUUUCUUCUUCUCCUCGUCUUAGGCUUUCAUACCUCGAAAUCAGACGUUGAAGCUCUCAUCAAAGAAUCCAAGGAUCAAUUGAACAAAACCUUUCGUUUCAUUUAAUUGAACAAAAACCCUAGAUAUUUUUGUUUCAAUUAGUUGAGCAAAAACACUAAAUAGAUCAAAGCCCAAGUCUGGAGGUCUUCUAACGGCUGGAAUUUCUAUACUUCUCAGGGAUGCAAGUACCUAAGUCUUACAAUUUCUCUAUUUUUGAUGUGUUUGCUUCCAAUAUCAGUUUCCCUAGAACUAAGGUUGGAAGAGAAGAUGACGAAAUCAUGUGGAAGAAAGAGAAAGAGAGAGGAUAGUAAUGUAGGAGGGGAUGCUAAGAGAAGGAUAGUCAUAUGGGGGGAAACUGAGGAAGAUUGGGAGCUGGAUGAGAUCGUGACAGAGGAUGAGAUUGAGGCAAAGAAAUUGGCUGAAAGUUUUAAGGGUUUAUGUGAAGUUAUCAAGGAAGUGCUCGGGGAUAGGGUCACCGAAGUUAUCGCUAACCCAUAUCCUGAAUUCUUUGAGAAACAACAUUUUAUCUAUCAAUAUUAAGCUUCAGGUGAUGCUUUUGAUUGUAUGUAUAUAAAUUCUAGAGAUGGAGAAUGACUCGAAACAUAAUAGCUGAGUAGCUUCUGUCUUUGCUACAAUCAGUCUUCCGUAUAAUAUCUAACAAUUACCAAGUAAUGGUCUUGGUUCUUUGUUUUCCUGAAAACUGGACUAGCAAUUUAGCAUAAACUGCAUCAAUGGGCCAGAAUUCACCACAUAGCUUCAGUUACAUGCUUUUGUCUGUUCUCCCCUAUUGUUAUGUUGGUGUAUUUCUUUUAGAACACUUUGUUUUGCUUAUUUUUGGAUACGUUGAGAUGUCUCAAAGAGAGUAACUUCAGAAGCUGCAUUGAAGUAUUAAUCAGGUAAAGGCACAAUGCAUGUUGUGGGAUCUAACAUUAUAAACCAAAGGCUGAAAUCUACGAGCCAUGAUUUCUUGUAGAAAGUCCCGAGUCCUGACAGGGUUAUUCGUAGAUUUUGUUUACCUAUGGGCUUUCUGUGUUCUUUUUCUUCUGUUUUUGUUGAGGCGUAGGAUUG